GAUGAACGCUGGCGGCGUGCUUAACACAUGCAAGUCGAACGAUGAAGCUGCCUGCUUGCAGGUGGUGGAUUAGUGGCGAACGGGUGAGUAUCACGUGAGUAACCUGCCCUUGACUCUGGGAUAAGCCCGGGAAACUGGGUCUAAUACCGGAUAUGACCUCUCAUCGCAUGGUGGGGGGUGGAAAGCUUUUAACGGUCUUGGAUGGGCUCGCGGCCUAUCAGCUUGACGGGGGGGUAGUGGCCUACCGUGGCUUUGACGGGUAGCCGGCCUGAGAGGGUGACCGGCCACACUGGGAUUGAGACACGGCCCAGACUCCUACGGGAGGCAGCAGUGGGGAAUAUUGCACAAUGGGCGCAAGCCUGAUGCAGCGACGCCGCGUGCGGGAUGACGGCCUUCGGGUUGUAAACCGCUUUCAGUACAGAGGAAGCCCUUUUUGGGUGACGGUAUGUGCAGAAGAAGCGCCGGCUAACUACGUGCCAGCAGCCGCUGUAA
rnacentral:rRNA from 1 species